AUUUCACGACGCAGCCAUUUGAAACAACGCCAGUUUCGUGAGGAGGAGUUAGCUAACGGUAGUUAUUAGCCAGCCUUUCGUUGACGAAGCUACAUAACUUACAUAUUCGCAUUUAUUGGAGACCCUCCGACAAUAAACCACCAAGAUGUUCAACAGAAUGACAAGCCUUUGGAUGGGUGAUCUGGACCCAUACAUGGAUGAGAAUUUCAUCAAACAGGCCUUCAGCACUAUGGGCGAGACGGCGUAUGGUGUUAAGAUCAUUACCCACAGAGUAACGGGAGGAUCGGCAGGCUAUUGCUUUGUGGAAAUGGCAGACGAAGCCAGCGUUGACCGAUGCGUUCACAGACUGAAUGGGAAGCUUGUUCCUGGAUCAAACCCGGUGAGCACUCAUUAUAUGCUUGACAUUUCUAAUAUUCAUAGUUCAUUUAAACAACUUACUGAUUAUGUAUUAGUGGACAACCACCCUCUCGUUUUAGUUUGAUGCUUUUUGCAAAAUGUGUUGUGGAUAGCGGAGCUUCACUAUCAUUGGCCCCCCACCUUAAUUUGAGGUUGAUGGAACAUAAUAUCUCAAAUUUACAUGACAGCCAAGUUACUGAGCUCCGUUUUCUUCCUGAUGGUGGUGGUUGAGGCUGUUUGUAAAUUUACUUUGUUUGAAGCUGGUGAAUAAACUCUGUUAGGAACUAACUGACGAAUGGGAUAAAGCCUGUACUGGGUGGUGGAGGUAUGUAAACCAAAUAAAAUGUCAUUUUCUAAUAUACUCUUUAUUUUCUAGCAAUAUGUCCUUACUACACGCAUUUGUCUUUGAAGGUUCUUGAUUGCUUGUUCUUUCUUCCUGUAUAGCCCAGAAAGUUUAAGUUAAACUAUGCAACUUACGGGAAACGGCCAGAAGCUGGCCUGGAAUUUUCAGUCUUUGUCGGAGAUCUGUCUUCAGAGGUGGAUGACUACCAGCUCCAUCAGUUCUUCCUGAAGAAGUACCCUUCCUGCAAAGGAGGGAAAGUGGUCUCUGAUCAGUAUGGUAACUCCAGGGUAAGCAAGAGCAACUCACAAUUGAAGUGAUGCUACUUCAUAUUAAAAAGGUUAUGGUUUCAUCAAGUUUGGGGACGAGAACGAACAGAAGAAAGCCAUCGAUGAGUGUCAGAACGCCACAGGCCUGGGGACGAAACCAAUCAGGAUCAGCAUAGCUGUGAACAAGAGCCAUAAAAUGAACAGCUAUAACAACCAGAACCACAACUCCUACCACAACAAUUACCAACAGCCGUACUAUCAACAACCCAACCAGAACUACUACCCUCAUUGGGGCUAUGACCAGUACAACAGCUAUAACUAUGGUGGCUAUGGUCCCUAUGGAGGGUACCCUGCUCCAGGCCCCCAUGGGAUGAUGGGACCCCCACCUCCCAUUGGCAUGCCCCCCAUGCCCACAGACAUGCAGACUUCCUCUGAGCAAACACAGGAGUCCACAGAUGAGCCUGAAGAAGAGGCAGCAGAAGACCCCAACCCUCAGCUGGAUGUGGAUGCACUGAACACAGAAUACAUGGAGAGGAGCGAGGAGCUCUACGAUUCUCUCAUGGACUGUCACUGGCAGCCACUGGAUACCAUCACGUCAGAAAUCCCGCAUUUUUCCACUUCCUGAUCUGUUUUCAACUUGUCCUCUGAGUUUAGUAUGAAAUUAAUCUUCUAUAAAAGGGUGAAGUUGUGCAGCAAAUGUCUUUUUUUUUUUUUUCACCAGUAGACACACAGCAUGUUUCUUCACUACUGCCUUUGCCAUUUGUAUAUAUUGUUCACAUCCUUCCCAUUUUGUAUUUUUAUUUUAUGGAAGUAAAUGUUAUUUUCCGGUCUGCACUAAACUUUCCUUCUAAAUUAUAGCUAAGUCUUUCUGGCAGUGCAUUUGUUUGAUUCAGACACUGCAUUUUUUUGUAUUUGAUUAAAUGAAGUAAUCAAUGGUCGUCAUCUCCCAGACAUGAUUUGUUUGUAUUUAUUUUCAGGAAGAAAGAACAUUUUAGUUGUAACUAACUAGUUUUAUUUUUCGCAGAUUAAACUUCAAUUUAAGCUUGUAUUUCAACAGUUUGUAUCACACCUUUUACAUGUGCUUAAUCUUGUUUUUUUAAAGUUGCAUUAUACAGCAAUUGGUCUGCCAUUUCCUGGUUGCUAAAACUCUAAUGGCUUGUUUUGUCAAACUGAAAUUCAGAAAACUAUGUAUAGUGUAGAGAAUCACUACCCUCUAAACCGCUGUGAAAUAUAUUUUCAAUAACCAAAAAUAUUGUGUUUGAAGUAAAAGUUGUAAACUUAAAUGUGAAGCAUCUACACAUUAGGUUUGCUUUAAAUGAGUGACGGCUCUAACUCACAUUUCUAUGUGAAUUUGGUCGUGACACGCAAAAAGGUAACUCAAUUGCUAUUGGUCAUACACAUAUUUAGCAGAUGGUAUUGUGGGUAUAGAAACACACGCAUUUCGCUAUCUCCAACAGUGCAGUAGAUACCUAUUAAUUCUCAUGAUAUACAUUUUGUUUUAGACUUGUAAUUAAUUUCAGCUUUUUUUGUGCCUGGAGCUUUUGGAAUAAUUCUAUUAAAGCUGACUUGGGGGGGUGGGACAGGACGUUGAAGUUUGGUAUGUAUUAUCCAAUUAUGUGACACUGAACAUUUGUGCUUAUGCAAAGUUUAGCGCACGUUCAUUUAGUCUGGUUUUCAGAACCACAAUUGAACUUCUUACUUACAUCACUUGCACUGUCAGAUGCAUAUGUUCAAUAAUAAACAGCCUUAUGUAA